AACGCACCUUGCGCUCCUUGGUAUUCCGAGGAGCAUGCCUGUUUGAGUGUCAUGAAAACCCUCAACCCUAGAUUGGUUAAAACCUUUCUUUGGUUUGGAUUUGGACGUUUGCCGAUGAUAAGUCGGCUCGUCUUAAAAGUAAUAGCUGGAUCUGUCUCGCGACAUGGUUUGACUUGGCGUAAUAAGUAUUUCGCUAAGGACGUCUUCGGAUGGCCGCGUUGCAGGACUAAAGACCGCUUUCUAAUCCAUUGACCUUCGGAUUAAUACUCUUGACAUCUGGCCUCAAAUCAGGUAGGACUACCCGCUGAACUUAA
rnacentral:rRNA from 1 species